GAGAAGGGUAUUCCUGCACAACCGGAGGCUGCAGUUUCAGGACCGCAGUUCUAGGACCGCAGUUCUAGGACCCUAGUUUUUCGUGACAGCGCCACCUACCGUACUGGAUCAACACUAAUUAAAGAUGGACAACGUGGACAGCAAUCAGACGAUGCAUAUAACAAUCCAAAAAGGGAGAUCCCUGCCCGAAUUGAAGAGAUGCACCACAUGCUGCAAGGACUUUCACUGCCCGUUCUUUAGUUCAGCUUUGUUCCACCCAUCAAAGUUGAGCAAGAUCAGAACCCAUUUAGAGAGCCAUUUCAAUCAUGCAGUUAUCCAUGAAGAGUUGAAGCCUACAGCCAUUCUAUCCAUGCAGCAACUGAUGGAAAAGGGGUUCGCUUUGGUGCUGUUAUCACAAAAAUGACAUAUAUAUAUAUAUAUAUAUAUAUAUAUAUAUAUAUAUAAAUAAACAAACAAACAUUCUUGAA